GUUUCACCAGGAGACUCUGAGGCUGGGCGAGGCUGCACACCUGUUGUUAAUUAAUCAAUCAUCCCCACACACUCUCAGGUGGGGAUCUCCUACAUGGUAGCAUGGAUCACCGUAUGUGUAUGUUUAAUGUCCUCAAACUUUGCAAUUAACCGGUUUCACCACUAUCAGCAUCAUCUUCAUAAGCAGCAACGAACAUUGCUAAACUCACGAACUUAGGAACUGAGGCACGCGGUAGUAUUUACUAUUUUGCACAUAGUAUUUGGAGUUUUUCACUUGUGGAGGAAUGGACUUCAACUUCAUGAUUUGUGUGGACAAGGUCAGCGCUGGAGGGUCCUGGGACCACACAGCAGCGCAGGGCUCAGACACAAACAGCAGAGGUCACCCUGAACCAUGGCGCUCUACUUCCCUGCUGUACAAGGAAGAGGAGAUUGGGGUACUCGGGAUUCAGGAUGAAGAAGCAUUGAGGAGGACAGGCAUAGAGCGAGAAGGAAAUGCACUUAGUUGUCGGGUCCAUCAGAAGGACAUUACUCGCUUCCUCCUUUUUUUUUUUUUUUAUACCUUAAGUGUCUUUGGCAGGAAGGAAUCUGAAUGCAUUACCGUGGCAUGUGGACCUCGAUCAAUGAAUUCUAUAGGUGAAAUAUGAGGAAUCUGUUGCGCUGGUGAAAAAGAUGUUGUUAUAAAUCACUAUCCAAAACUGUGUGUGUGUGUGUGUGUGUAUAUUUAUACACACGGGGGCCUAAAUC
ensembl:lncRNA